GACGAACGCUGGCGGCGUGCUUAACACAUGCAAGUCGUACGGUAAGGCCCUUUCGGGGGUACACGAGUGGCGAACGGGUGAGUAACACGUGAGUAACCUGCCCACAACUUUGGGAUAACGCUAGGAAACUGGUGCUAAUACUGGAUAUGUGCUCCUGCUGCAUGGUGGGGGUUGGAAAGCUCCGGCGGUUGUGGAUGGACUCGCGGCCUAUCAGCUUGUUGGUGGGGUAGUGGCCUACCAAGGCGGCGACGGGUAGCCGGCCUGAGAGGGUGACCGGCCACAUUGGGACUGAGAUACGGCCCAGACUCCUACGGGAGGCAGCAGUGGGGAAUAUUGCACAAUGGGCGCAAGCCUGAUGCAGCAACGCCGCGUGCGGGAUGACGGCCUUCGGGUUGUAAACCGCUUUCAGCAGGGACGAAGCUUUUUGUGACGGUACCUGCGGAAGAAGCACCGGCUAACUACGUG
rnacentral:rRNA from 1 species